rnacentral:rRNA from 1 species
GACAGAGGUGCCAAGCGUUAGGCGGAAUCACUGGGCUUAAAGCGUGUGUAGGCGGACUUCUAAGUACCUUGUGAAAUCCCACGGCUCAACCGUGGAACUGCUUGGUAUACUGGUCGUCUUGAGCCAUCUAGGGGCUGUCGGAACAAAUGGUGGAGCGGUGAAAUGCGUAGAUAUCAUUUGGAACGCCAAAGGUGAAAACAGACAGCUGGGGAUGUGCUGACGCUGAGACACGAAAGCCAGGGGAGCGAACGGG